rnacentral:rRNA from 1 species
ACCAUCCAGAGAACUUAGCAGAGAUGCUUUGGUGCCUUCGGGAACUCUGAGACAGGUGCUGCAUGGCUGUCGUCAGCUCGUGUUGUGAAAUGUUGGGUUAAGUCCCGCAACGAGCGCAACCCUUAUCCUUUGUUGCCAGCGGUUCGGCCGGGAACUCAAAGGAGACUGCCGGUGAUAAACCGGAGGAAGGUGGGGAUGACGUCAAGUCAUCAUGGCCCUUACGGCCAGGGCUACACACGUGCUACAAUGGCGCAUACAAAGAGAAGCGACCUCGCGAGAGCAAGCGGACCUCAUAAAGUGCGUCGUAGUCCGGAUUGGAGUCUGCAACUCGACUCCAUGAAGUCGGAAUCGCUAGUAAUCGUAGAUCAGAAUGCUACGGUGAAUACGUUCCCGGGCCUUGUACACACCGCCCGUCACACCAUGGGAGUGGGUUGCAAAAGAAGUAGGUAGCUUAACCUUCGGGAGGGCGCUUACCACUUUGUGAUUCAUGACUGGGGUGAAGUCGUAACAAGGUAAGCGUAGCGAG